rnacentral:rRNA from 1 species
AUGCAUGUUCUUCAGAAGCUACAAACAGUAAAUCUGGUUGCUGUCUCCAACAGUAGGCAUCACACAGCCAGUGUAGUGGCAAGACGUUACCAUAGAGCUCAGCAAUGCACUCUCGACCUCGGCGGAGGCCUUUCUCCUGAGCAAGCACAUGGCAUACUCCAUCACUGCAGCAUCACAGGGCAGUCUGAUCCCGCCAUCGCUCGCAAAGCCAAACUCCUCCUGGGACAUCCUCAGGAGCUCACCGAAUACCGUCGUGCUGAGGUACUCCAACGGGACCUCAAAAUGCCCCCCAUCAGCCGUGUACAUGACACAGUGGCCCUUGGCUGGUACAGAACUGUAGCAGUCUUCAUCUUCUUUGGCUGA